GGUUGAGGUGAGGAUAAACCUGUACAGAAACUUGACUGUUGUGUUGACCAAAAUACAGACUACAAUUAUCUGAUCAACC
rfam:Triticum aestivum genome assembly, contig: Triticum_aestivum_CS42_TGACv1_scaffold_000601_1AL